CAGGGAAUUUUGCACAAUGGGCGCAAGCCUGAUGCAGCGACGCCGCGUGAGGGAUGAAGGCUCUCGGGUUGUAAACCUCUUUCAGAAGGGACGAAGCGAAAGUGACGGUACCUUCAGAAGAAGCCCCGGCCAACUACGUGCCAGCAGCCGCGGUAAUACGUAGGGGGCGAGCGUUGUCCGGAUUUAUUGGGCGUAAAGAGCUCGUAGGCGGCUCAGCAAGUUGGCCGUGAAAGCCCGAGGCUCAACCUCGGGAGGCCGGUCAAAACUGCUGAGCUAGGGUCCGGUAGAGGACAGUGGAAUUCCCGGUGUAGCGGUGAAAUGCGCAGAUAUCGGGAGGAACACCAGCAGCGAAGGCGGCUGUCUGGGCCGGUACCGACGCUGAGGAGCGAAAGCUAGGGGAGCAAACAGGAUUAGAUACCCCCGUAGUCC
rnacentral:rRNA from 1 species